UGCGUAGGCGGAAAUAUAAGUCAGUGGUGAAAUCCUGCAGCUUAACUGCAGAAUUGCCAUUGAUACUGUUUUUCUUGAGUGCAGUUGAGGUAGGCGGAAUGUGUAGUGUAGCGGUGAAAUGCUUAGAUAUUACACAGAACACCGAUUGCGUAGGCAGCUUACUAAACUGUUACAGACGCUGAGGCACGAAAGCGUGGGGAGCGAACAGGAUUAGAUACCCUGGUAGUCC
rnacentral:rRNA from 1 species